UCACACACCCCUUUGUAGCAUUACAUCUGAAAAAAUAAAUCCUAGAAACACAAGUAUGUUAAGAUAAACUCACCCCUUAGCUCCAGUAACUCUAUUCUUCCACUGCAGUGCAGCACCGUAAAGCCAGGAUGUAUUCCUUAUCCUCACAGCAAUGCUCUGCUGUGCUGAAGUACUUUCCACUUCCCAGCACUCUCUCUUCUUCCUUUGCUUUUUUUUCUAAUUGAUCGUCUUUUGAAAGUCAAAAACAAAUUGAUGCCAUUUAAGUAAAAAUAAAUAAAUAAACAACCCCCCCCACACACACAGAUCUGUAGCUGGUUCAGGUGAGAUGCUUUCCACCUACAAAGAGUGCUUUCUAUUUUUCCUGACUUUGUGAUAAAACACUCUCUGAAGUUAAGCUCUAGAUUUUAUUUUAUUUAUUUAUAUAUUUUUUUUUUGUACCUUAACAUGCCUUGAGGAGAUAAAACAGGAGAGUAUCUGAAAGUGAAAAAUCCAACGUCAGUCACAGAUAGAAGAACAUGAUUUCUCUCCAGUUAAUCCCCUUAAUCCUUGACAGGUUUAUUCCUGCAGGUACAUCUUUCUCAUUUCCAUUUCGGUGCUGAAACAGAAGUUGAUAUUAUCUGAGCAGGUGAGGCUUCAGGCCAGUAUCUUUUAUCUUCUCAGCCGGCUGUGCUGCAGAGGCUGGGCACUGUGACCCUGCCUGGAGGGCACACCAGGAGCUGUGGCCACCGCUGCUUCCCCCAGGGGGAAGGUUUGGAGAGGAGUUUUUCUUCACUUCUUUCCACAGCUAUUUUGGUCUGUGCCUCCUUACCAAGGGCUGCCAACAGUGCUCCUUGCAUGUGUGAUCACUAUGAUGGUUCUGUGCAGUCUCAGCCUCCACAGGCUCCCUUUGCUGUUUUCCCAGUUGUUCCAGCUAAAGGCAGGUCAAACAGGUGCUUAUAGAUCUACACACAGGAAUGCUUCCUCUUUCAUGCUCUACUCCUUCCCUGUGAGUGCCAGCAAUAUGAAUGCAAACAAUCGUUUUCAUGGACACUGA
rnacentral:lncRNA from 1 species